UCCUACGGGAGGCAGCAGUGGGGAAUAUUGCACAAUGGGCGCAAGCCUGAUGCAGCGACGCCGCGUGAGGGAUGGAGGCCUUCGGGUUGUAAACCUCUUUUGUUAGGGAGCAAGGCACUUUGUGUUGAGUGUACCUUUCGAAUAAGCACCGGCUAACUACGUGCCAGCAGCCGCGGUAAUACGUAGGGUGCAAGCGUUAUCCGGAAUUAUUGGGCGUAAAGGGCUCGUAGGCGGUUCGUCGCGUCCGGUGUGAAAGUCCAUCGCUUAACGGUGGAUCCGCGCCGGGUACGGGCGGGCUUGAGUGCGGUAGGGGAGACUGGAAUUCCCGGUGUAACGGUGGAAUGUGUAGAUAUCGGGAAGAACACCAAUGGCGAAGGCAGGUCUCUGGGCCGUUACUGACGCUGAGGAGCGAAAGCGUGGGGAGCGAACAGGAUUAGAUACCCUGGUAGUCCACGCCGUAAACGGUGGAUGCUGGAUGUGGGGCCCGUUCCACGGGUUCCGUGUCGGAGCUAACGCGUUAAGCAUCCCGCCUGGGGAGUACGGCCGCAAGGCUAAAACUCAAAGAAAUUGACGGGGGCCCGCACAAGCGGCGGAGCAUGCGGAUUAAUUCGAUGCAACGCGAAGAACCUUACCUGGGCUUGACAUGUUCCCGACGAUCCCAGAGAUGGGGUUUCCCUUCGGGGCGGGUUCACAGGUGGUGCAUGGUCGUCGUCAGCUCGUGUCGUGAGAUGUUGGGUUAAGUCCCGCAACGAGCGCAACCCUCGCCCCGUGUUGCCAGCGGAUUAUGCCGGGAACUCACGGGGGACCGCCGGGGUUAACUCGGAGGAAGGUGGGGAUGACGUCAGAUCAUCAUGCCCCUUACGUCCAGGGCUUCACGCAUGCUACAAUGGCCGGUACAACGGGAUGCGACAGUGCGAGCUGGAGCGGAUCCCUGAAAACCGGUCUCAGUUCGGAUCGCAGUCUGCAACUCGACUGCGUGAAGGCGGAGUCGCUAGUAAUCGCGAAUCAGCAACGUCGCGGUGAAUGCGUUCCCGGGCCUUGUACACACCGCCCGUCAAGUCAUGAAAGUGGGC
rnacentral:rRNA from 1 species